rnacentral:lncRNA from 1 species
UCGUGUGCCUCUCAGCCAAACAUUGCUCAAAAACCCCAGAGACAGGGAAAUAUUUUUCUGCUUGCAUUGGAAAGUUGGGAAAGACAUCUGAGGCAGAAGGAAAACUCAAGUCUUUACAAGUUCAUUUAUGAUUGGGACAUCAACAAAAACGGGGCCUACUUGAGGAAAGCCUUAGGAUUUCCUGAUGGGGUGAUGCUGAUUCAUGGUUACAGAAAACUGGAAUGAUGCCCUGAAGACUUAAAGAGUAAAGAAAGUCAUCUUAGCAAUUACCAUCUGGCAAAUCCAACACUUCAAUUAUUUAAACAACACUUUGGGAAACAAAAAGAGUGAUGAUCUUGAACAAAAUGGAAGCAUCAUCAAAAUCUUCAGCAGUAGUGAUGGAGGCAACAAUAGGAUUCAGAACCAUGAAUUUUUGUUGUGAUUCUGCAGUGGAUGAUGUCUCUACCAUCCUUCCCCAGUGUUCUUUUCAUACUUUGUUUUGCUUUUCAAUCUCUUUUGGGUGCCACCCCAUCUCACACUUUUCUUCUCAACAUUGAUAUGCAUCAGAACAUAAUCUCUCUGCAGUAGCAAAUUAUCUUGUGACUCUAAAUACCAUCCAUCAGCCAUUGUCUCCCAAAUUAGCUUCAGACCUCAGCUCGCACCUAAUCUUCAGACUCAUAAUGUAUCUGUCUGAUGUCUUCAUUAGGUAUUCAAAAAACAUCUUCUGUUUAAGGUUUUGGAUUUUCCAUUCACACUGUACUCUUCUGUUUUCAUUUUAGUACAAUUUAAUCAUACUGCUUGAAGCUCAAAUCCCCCAAAUAGAGAAUGAUCACAAAUUAGGAAAGCUAUAUUGCACUUUUGGGUUAAUUCAAGGCAUUUAGGAUCAGUGUUUCAUGAACUACAUCUACUGUCUGUGUCUCCAAAUGACAAGGAAAGAUUGGUGAUCAUGGGUGAUUUGUUCCGUUCUAUCUAGUUCUUGCAAGUACAAAAAGAUAUCGUGAGAAAACAUGUCAGAGAAGUUUCAUUCCGGUAUGAGUCAGUGAAUUAGCUACACUUAUUAAAUACUGUGUCUUUGAGCAAAUAUUAUUUAAUAUUACAUUUUGACCUAUGGAUGAAAAUGUUGCUUCCAGAAGCUUGAAGGAAUCUUGCCUUACAAAUCGUUUCUCAGGGGCACAAUUGCUUAGUAUCUGUUCGGUUACUUUCCCUCAUAACUUUUCAGGACAUAAUUACCAGGCAUUCCCAAACUGAAUGUAUUUUCCAAAAUUUGGAGAAAGGAUUUAGAAUGGGUCAUAGUGUGAAUUCUGCUACUAAAAGGCCUAC